rnacentral:rRNA from 1 species
GAUGAACGCUGGCGGCGUGCCUAAUACAUGCAAGUCGAGCGAACAGACGAGGAGCUUGCUCCUCUGACGUUAGCGGCGGACGGGUGAGUAACACGUAGAUAACCUACCUAUAAGACUGGGAUAACUUCGGGAAACCGGAGCUAAUACCGGAUAAUAUAUUGAACCGCAUGGUUCAAUAGUGAAAGACGGUUUUGCUGUCACUUAUAGAUGGAUCCGCGCCGCAUUAGCUAGUUGGUAAGGUAACGGCUUACCAAGGCAACGAUGCGUAGCCGACCUGAGAGGGUGAUCGGCCACACUGGAACUGAGACACGGUCCAGACUCCUACGGGAGGCAGCAGUAGGGAAUCUUCCGCAAAGGGCGAAAGCCUGACGGAGCAACGCCGCGUGAGUGAUGAAGGUCUUCGGAUCGUAAAACUCUGUUAUUAGGGAAGAACAAAUGUGUAAGUAACUAUGCACGUCUUGACGGUACCUAAUCAGAAAGCCACGGCUAACUACGUG